ensembl:lincRNA
GGCUGGGUGGCAUCGGAAACUCUCUUCCAGAAUAUUCUCAGCUUUAAAGGGAACUGGUGAAGCUUGAGAGCCAAGCAGACAUGAUUUCAUCAAAUGUUACUCUUUCUCUGUGGAGCCCCCCCCUUUUUAAAAAAGAUGACUGCUGUUCUUUCCACCUGGAAUGUCCACUUGCCUGUGCUUUUGCAAAAGCCCCUUCCUUAAGACUGGGCAGUCUUCUCCUGUGCUGACAUCCUGAGUGUCACCCCAGGCCAUGUCUUCCUGAUCUGUGUCACCUUGUACUGUGUUGCUCUCUCCCCUUGGGUUGCUCCUUGCUCUGACUGUGAGACAAGCCCUGAGACUUCGGUUGGUUAAGGGCCCUGAUGUCUCUGUGCUCGUCAAAUUUGGGAAUCCAGCACAGAGCUCAGAAGAGCCUGCCCUGGAGGAGAGUCUCUUGCCAUAUUUGUAUCUGGAAUCCCAACCUGUCUAACCACCAGGCUGCUGUUGUUCCUGUUUCUACACCUAACCCAUCCAUUCUCAAGUUUCACCACUGCUAACUUAACGUCUUUGACUCUUCCCGCCUGUAUGUCCCUCUGACCAGCUUGGUUUGGUCUCUAACUUGUGCGACCUACUGCUUUUCACCUCACAGGACAUCACUCAGGUAUCAGAGGAGAGUGAAGGAAGGGCUCAGUGAGAUGGGGAAUCCGGAACUUCGACUAAGACCAAGGACCUUUUUGGAGAACUAAAAUGGCUCCUCCUGAGAGUUGGUAGCUUGCUGCCCAUGUAGCAGGGGUGAAGGCUUCUGCCUGCUUGCCCAAGUCACCUCUUGAUUCUUUUCCAUUUACCAAGAUGGGGAUUUCUUGUUUUGUUUCUGUCUUUGAAGAGUUAGAACAAGAAGAGCUGGAGAAUGCACACCUGAAAAUACAGAUGCUGUGUUCUGAUGUUAAAAAUCCUAACACAAUUUCUCCUUUCAACCCCAUCCAUUUUGGGAGCCUGCCCUUCAGUAUCUUCAGCAUUUGCAUCCACACUUGGGGUGGCAGGCACCGAGAAUCACCAUCUCUGUCACCCUGUGGCCUGGUGGAGGGACGGCCACAUACUCACUAAGAGGUGGCUAUUGAGUGGAAGACAGCUGUGGAGAUUUGGAGAAGGCGGAGAAAGGCUCCUGAGCUCUAGGUUGAACAAGAGGUCAAGAAUAGGAAGUAUAUACAUAUAAGAAGUAUGUACAUAUAAGAACUACAGUGGCUCAAACCAGAUGAAUUCCAACAAAGGCAGAUCACAUCAUGGGCAAGAUCCCUGUGAGUUUUCCUGUUGCUGUCACUUGGAUACCCCUGAAGAACAUGAUCCUCCUAGACAGCAAUGGCUCCAACUGUGCCAUCCAGUGUUUAUAAAGUGCCUUCCCGUCUAGAUUACCGUAUUCCACUAAAGACUCCAUUUACAGAGAACUUCACUUGCUACUAGGUCAGGAGCAGGGUCAGACACAGCCGCGCCCAGGCUCUCUACAUGCAACCUUGCCUGGCAGGUCUGAAAGACUUGGGGAGGGGGAAGGAGGGGAAGGCUAUUUGUGUUAGAAGUGAGCCUCUGACUGCAUCUUCUCAUCAUCACUGUUCCAUUCAGCUGCUAUUCUAGUCCAACUCAGAACUUCCUAAGCAGGACAAGGGGCUGUGCUGUCAAGGCCACGUUCCUUUUCUCUGAAGUCAUUGCUCAGUGCUGUGCCCCUCCCCAGUGGCCUUGGUUACCCUACAUCUACCCUUCAGCCUGUCCUAAAACAGACAGCUGGGUGUCUGGCAGCAGCUCACAUCAGCCACUUGAUCUCUGUGGAUCUCUUCCUGACUAUACAGGUGUGUGGUUGGAUUUCAGGGGGUACCCUUUCACCCCGAUCUCAGAAGCUAGCUCACACCUGCCACUCUAUGCCACCAGUCACAUCCUCAGUGUGGUGUGCAAGGCCCUCUCACCUGGUUUAGGCUUCAAGUUACAUGAGAACAGGAAGCCUUGAAUCCCCUGCUCUACUUACUCCCUGCCACCUGCUAACUAAUGAGUGACAUCAUUUAACACUGUUUUGAAAAGAGAGAUUUAAAGUUGUUUUGAAAACUGAAGGAAAAAUACAAAUGUUUGCAUGUUAAACAUUUCGCCCAAGUACUAAAAUGUGAAUGUCUCUUUAUUAUGACAGUUCUGGAGGAGAGUGAGCUCCUGGUUGUCAGUGAGCAUCUCAGCACAGGGUUUGACACACAGCAUGGCAGUGGGAGGAAGCUUAAAAAUAGUUGAAAGAAAGAGAAGUGUUCGAUGCUUUUCUAAUUGUCCCAGGUCAACAGUCUGCCUUCUAUUGUGACGGUUCAACGAAAAUGAAAUUUCACCCAUAUGCAUCCUAUAAUAGCUAUUUACUCUUGUCUCCAAGAAUCAAAUGUAUAGAAAAUUUGGAAAGUAUAGAGCUCUGAAGAAUACACAGAAUUCCAA